CUGGAGGUAUCAGAAGUGCGAAUGCUGACAUAAGUAACGAUAAAGCGGGUGAAAAGCCCGCUCGCCGGAAGACCAAGGGUUCCUGUCCAACGUUAAUCGGGGCAGGGUGAGUCGACCCCUAAGGCGAGGCCGAAAGGCGUAGUCGAUGGGAAACGGGUUAAUAUUCCCGUACUUGGUGUUACUGCGAAGGGGGGACGGAGAAGGCUAUGUUGGCCGGGCGACGGUUGUCCCGGUUUAAGCGUGUAGGUGUGUGUUCCAGGUAAAUCCGGUUCACUUUAACACUGAGGCGUGACGACGAGGCACUACGGUGCUGAAGCAACAAAUGCCCUGCUUCCAGGAAAAGCCUCUAAGCAUCAGGUAACAUCAAAUCGUACCCCAAACCGACACAGGUGGUCAGGUAGAGAAUACCAAGGCGCUUGAGAGAACUCGGGUGAAGGAACUAGGCAAAAUGGUGCCGUAACUUCGGGAGAAGGCACGCUGACAUGUAGGUGAAGUGAUUUACUCAUGGAGCUGAAGUCAGUCGAAGAUACCAGCUGGCUGCAACUGUUUAUUAAAAACACAGCACUGUGCAAACACGAAAGUGGACGUAUACGGUGUGACGCCUGCCCGGUGCCGGAAGGUUAAUUGAUGGGGUCAGCGCAAGCGAAGCUCCUGAUCGAAGCCCCGGUAAACGGCGGCCGUAACUAUAACGGUCCUAAGGUAGCGAAAUUCCUUGUCGGGUAAGUUCCGACCUGCACGAAUGGCGUAAUGAUGGCCAGGCUGUCUCCACCCGAGACUCAGUGAAAUUGAACUCGCUGUGAAGAUGCAGUGUACCCGCGGCAAGACGGAAAGACCCCGUGAACCUUUACUAUAGCUUGACACUGAACAUUGAGCCUUGAUGUGUAGGAUAGGUGGGAGGCUUUGAAGUGUGGACGCCAGUCUGCAUGGAGCCGACCUUGAAAUACCACCCUUUAAUGUUUGAUGUUCUAACGUGGACCCGUGAUCCGGGUUGCGGACAGUGUCUGGUGGGUAGUUUGACUGGGGCGGUCUCCUCCUAAAGAGUAACGGAGGAGCACGAAGGUUGGCUAAUCCUGGUCGGACAUCAGGAGGUUAGUGCAAUGGCAUAAGCCAGCUUGACUGCGAGCGUGACGGCGCGAGCAGGUGCGAAAGCAGGUCAUAGUGAUCCGGUGGUUCUGAAUGGAAGGGCCAUCGCUCAACGGAUAAAAGGUACUCCGGGGAUAACAGGCUGAUACCGCCCAAGAGUUCAUAUCGACGGCGGUGUUUGGCACCUCGAUGUCGGCUCAUCACAUCCUGGGGCUGAAGUAGGUCCCAAGGGUAUGGCUGUUCGCCAUUUAAAGUGGUACGCGAGCUGGGUUUAGAACGUCGUGAGACAGUUCGGUCCCUAUCUGCCGUG
rnacentral:rRNA from 1 species